rnacentral:sRNA from 1 species
UGUUAGAGAGUUCACAGCUCGGUAAAAAAAAAUUCUAAAUUUUGUAGUUUUUUUUCGGCAAUAUUUAUUUGACUAGAUAUUAAGAAUAAAGUGAUAUUUUUUUACAACUAAUUUAAGCAAAAAGUGAAAAACACAAUCAACUAACAAAAGACAGUGAAAAGAAAACAACAAAAAUGUUCGUGGGGCAGAGAACUCACAGCUCGAAAAAUAAUAAAUGCAACAAUUAACAGCUCAACACCAAUCAAAUACCGCGAAAAAUGUUUGUUUGUUACGAAACUAUUUAUUAGUCCAGUUAACAAUAUCUACCGAUCCAACAGACUCUGGGGUCUCACUUUAGAUGGCAGUAGGUUUUCCUCGGGGUCCAAUGGAUGCUGGAUCAUAGACGACUAAUACAACAAUCAAUCAACACCAAUCAAAUAACGCGAAAAAUACUCUGGGGUCUCACUUUAGAUGGCAGUAGGUUUUCUUCGGGGUCCAAUGGAUGCUGGAUCAUAGACGACUAAUACAACAAUCAACACCACCCGUUCAGCAUUAAACAAUAAUCAAAAAAAAAACUGCGAAAAAGACACUAUAGAGUUGUUCCCACAGCUGGCAGGAGGUCGUCCUUGGAGUCUAACGGAUGUACAAUCGGAUACACGGUCAAACACGUUCACGAGUGCGAACUACAUAUACUAAACACACUAUACUAUAUUUUGAUACUAAUAAUUAUAUAUUUUUAUACCAAAAACAAA